GGAGCCGGACGAACGGAGGGUACGGGCAGCGCCGACUGAGGGAAUAACCGCUGUGACUGUGAGGAGUCGCCGCUGUGACCGGAAUCAGAAUCACCAUUUAAUCUUCGUCUCUCCCCCGAUUGCGACAUUGGAAGUCAGGCCCGCGGGCCGGAGCUCUCCGCACCGCAGUGUCUGUGACAGAGGGCUGUGGAGGCGACGCAGACUGGUGCUGGGAUGUUCACGACAACCACCUUCCAAUGGAAUCUGCUGAAUGCAGUUACCGUGUGCCAGUGACAGGCACUGAG